AAUGAAUCAUACCCUUGGCUCGGUUGUCUUGUCACCGUGAUAGAUCUGAGAAAAUAAUAAUUGUGUUUCUCAGUAAAUGAAGAUUAGCAUAUUGUUUUCGAAAUGUUGGAAUCGUAUUUAAAAACAUCUUCAUAAAUAAGCAGUCCGUCACCUAACAUUUAUGCUUGAUGACAAAUAAUUCGGUCACAAGAAAACCUCACUGAGUAUCUCGCCGGAUCUUCCAGUGAGCCGCGGUUCCGAUCCGGUGGAAGAUUCAGCGAAGUUCUGCUUUUGCUAGGACAGAUGUUAGCAAAGUCUUCCAGGCUGAGCCAAAGUAUGCUCUCCUACGCGUUCGGUGAAGUUAGCAUGACCCCUCAAAGUUACUGACAAUAGGGACUAAAGCAAUUUCUCUAAAGGAAGAGCUCUUAUCCGUUAUAAACAUGUACAGAGUUUUCUUCAUACCAAUACUUUGUCGAGCCUCCAGAAAACACUUUCGGUCCUUUUCAAGCUUUCAAGUAGAGGCCAUGAAACUAUGUUCCACAGGAUGGGUUGUAAGGUAAGACACACCCAAACAAUAUCACAAUGAUAUUAUCUGGAUAUUAUAGUCUUAGUAUUAUUUCAAAACUAUGAUGAUUAAAAACGUGUAGAUUUUUUCAAACUUUAAUUUUAUUUUAUAAUGAGCUGGAUAGAUACACUCUUUUCCCAACACAAAGAUUUUUGUAACAUAAUAAUAUGUGUAUUUUCAUUACUUGUGUUUCAUUAAAUAUUAAACCAUAAAAAUGUAUUUAUUGAUGAUGUU